rnacentral:rRNA from 1 species
CUACGGGACGCACCAGUCGAGAAUCUUCCGCAAUGGGCGCAAGCCUGACGGAGCAAUGCCGCGUGAGGGAUGACGGCCCUAGGGUUGUAAACCUCUGUCAGAAGGGACGAAGAACGUGACGGUACCUUCAGAGGAAGCCAUGGCUAACUACGUGCCAGCAGCCGCGGUAAUACGUAGAUGGCGAGCGUUAUUCGGAUUUACUGGGCGUAAAGGGUCCGUAGGGGGUCUGCCAAGUCUGAUGUGAAAUCCUGCGGCUCAACCGCGGAACUGCAUUGGAAACUGGCGGACUGGAGUGUGCGAGGGGUGAGCGGAAUUCCUGGUGUAGCGGUGGAAUGCGUAGAUAUCAGGAAGAGCACCGAUGGCGAAGGCGGCUCACUGGCGCAUCACUGACCCUGAGGGGCGAAAGCGUGGGUAGCAAACAGGAUUAGAUACCCCCGUAGUC